GAUAAAUUGUAUUGUAAAAUAAGGGUUAUGCUGGAGUUAACUCCCCUUUCCGUCACUACGCUCCUUAACUUACUUAAAAGUUACUUAAGAGAGAUGACCAUCAUACGAAAUACAGAAAAAGG